GGAAUAUUGCACAAUGGGGGAAACCCUGAUGCAGCGACGCCGCGUGAGUGAAGAAGUAUCUCGGUACGUAAAGCUCUAUCAGCAGGGAAAAUAAUGACGGUACCUGACCAAGAAGCCCCGGCUAACUACGUGCCAGCAGCAGCGGUAAUACGUAGGGGGCAAGCGUUAUCCGGAUUUACUGGGUGUGAAGGGAGCGUAGACGGCAGCACAAGUCUGGAGUGAAAUCCCGGGGCUUAACCCCGGAACUGCUUUGGAAACUGGGCGGCUGGAGUGCAGGAGGGGUAAGCGGAAUUCCUAGUGUAGCGGUGAAAUGCGUAGAUAUUAGGAGGAACACCGGUGGCGAAGGCGGCUUACUGGACUGUAACUGACGUUGAGGCUCGAAAGCGUGGGGAGCAAAC
rnacentral:rRNA from 1 species